GAUGAACGCUGGCGGCGUGCCUAAUACAUGCAAGUCGAGCGAACGGACGAGAAGCUUGCUUCUCUGAUGUUAGCGGCGGACGGGUGAGUAACACGUGGAUAACCUACCUAUAAGACUGGGAUAACUUCGGGAAACCGUAGCUAAUACCGGAUAAUAUUUUGAACCGCAUGGUUCAAAAGUGAAAGACGGUCUUGCUGUCACUUAUAGAUGGAUCCGCGCUGCAUUAGCUAGUUGGUAAGGUAACGGCUUACCAAGGCAACGAUGCAUAGCCGACCUGAGAGGGUGAUCAGCCACACUGGAACUGAGACACGGUCCAGACUCCUACGGGAGGCAGCAGUAGGGAAUCUUCCGCAAUGGGCGAAAGCCUGACGGAGCAACGCCGCGUGAGUGAUGAAGGUCUUCGGAUCGUAAAGCUCUGUUAUUAGGGAAGAACAUAUGUGUAAGUAACUGUGCACAUCUUGACGGUACCUAAUCAGAAAGCAACGGCUAACUACGUG
rnacentral:rRNA from 1 species